AAGGGCACCACAAGAACGCGUGGAACAUGUGGCUUAAUUUGACCCAACACGGGAAAUCUUACCAGGUCCGGACACAUUAAGGAUUGACAGAUUUUUUAUAAUAAAUAUGAUAGUUCUUUCAUGAUUAUGUGAUAGGUGGUGCAUGGCCGUUCUUAGUUCGUGGAUUGAUUUGUCUGCUUAAUUGCGUUUCAUUUAAAAAAAAUUAAUACUAUUUAAUAUAAUUUUUAUAUUAAUAAAUGUAUUAUAAUAUAUUGAAUGCAACGAACGUGACCG
rnacentral:rRNA from 1 species